CCAAUAGCGUUUAUUAAAGUUGUUGCAGUUAAAAAGCUCGUAGUUGAAUUUCGAGAUCAGUACGCUGGUCGUGCCUUCGGUAUGCGCUGGUGUCACUGGUUUCUCCCUUCUGAAGAACCGUCAUGCCAUUCAGUUGGUGUGGCGGGGAAUCAGGACUGUUACUUUGAAAAAAUUAGAGUGUUUAAAGCAGGCUCGCGCUUGAAUACAUUAGCAUGGAAUAAUGAAAUAGGACGUUUGACCCUAUUUUGUUGGUUUCUAGGAUCGACGUAAUGAUUAAUAGGGAUAGUUGGGGGCAUUAGUAUUCAAUUGUCAGAGGUGAAAUUCUUGGAUUUAUUGAAGACUAACUACUGCGAAAGCAUUUGCCAAGGAUGUUUUCAUUAAUCAAGAACGAAAGUUAGGGGAUCGAAGACGAUCAGAUACCGUCGUAGUCUUAACCAUAAACUAUGUCGACUAGGGAUCGGAUGAUGUUAAUUUUUUAAUGACUCAUUCGGCGCCUUACG
rnacentral:rRNA from 1 species